GACGAACGCUGGCGGCGUGCUUAACACAUGCAAGUCGAACGGAAAGGCCCCUUUGGGGGUACUCGAGUGGCGAACGGGUGAGUAACACGUGAGUAACCUGCCCUUGACUUCGGGAUAACUUCAGGAAACUGGGGCUAAUACCGGAUAGGAAUCCUUGCUGCAUGGUGGGGGUUGGAAAGCUUCGGCGGUUUUGGAUGGACUCGCGGCUUAUCAGCUUCUUGGUGGGGUAGUGGCUUACCAAGGCUUUGACGGGUAGCCGGCCUGAGAGGGCGACCGGCCACAUUGGGACUGAGAUACGGCCCAGACUCCUACGGGAGGCAGCAGUGGGGAAUAUUGCACAAUGGGCGGAAGCCUGAUGCAGCAACGCCGCGUGCGGGAUGACGGCCUUCGGGUUGGAAACCGCUUUCAGCAGGGGCGAAGCUUGUGGUGACGGUACCUGCAGAAGAAGCACCGGCUAACUACGUG
rnacentral:rRNA from 1 species